UAAAGAUAUCAAGCCAUUCUGUGCUAGUGGUGGUAGUACUGUGGGGUUGCUUUGUGGGUCCCAGCUUCUAAAAAACAACAAGAGUAUGUUAAGCCUCCUUUCACGUUCAGUCGUCUUGAAGUCAUGCAGGUACUACAUACAGUAAAUCAGAUCAAGCAGUGUGAAGUCAGGAUCACUGAGCAGCGCUUUGGUAGGUUUGUGUGAUCCGUGUGUUUUGCCUUUAAGAUAAUAUAUAAUAAACAUUAUCUAUCACAUUCACCAUAGGGCUAUGUUGUGAUAUUUGUGUUUUAGAUUCACCCAGUUCAUUAAUAUCAAUCUAACUGUUGCCCCGUCAUUGUACUGUACAGAUCACGAAAAAUGCCCAGAAUAACAGUCACUCAAUAUAUUAGGCUAACAUUAUUACUGUAAUACCUGCAUUUAAUUUCUGGAUAGCAGGUAUUGAAACAGAUCUCUGGAUUUGUGUGUUUGAAUGCUAAUUGUGUUAGUGCUUUGAUAUUGGUUCAUGUCAUUAACCCAUGACGCGACUACAUUUUGUUGUAUUAGGUAUAUCCUACUCGCUGUACUUGACGUUUAUGAAGUUUUCUUCGAAGAGGUUGCUAAUGUUGUUGAUUCGUAUUGAUGCUUUGGAAAAUCAACGCAUUGCGCCAGAAACAGUUAGGUUAGGUUAAAUUUGCUCUGGUUUAGUUUAUUGGGGAAACCGAGACCAAAUUUCGCAUUUCGAAAAAAAAAAAAUAAAUAAAAUAAAUAAAAUAAAACUUCAAGGGGACGAACUGCCAUAUUUGGCAAAAGUAUCCCCUUUAGCCCAUAAAUUCCAGUGAAAAGCCCACAUGGUAUAAAUAAAAAAAGAAAAAGAAAAAGGAAGGAUCUGCUGUAAACUUUUAUCGUUAAUUGUGCCAGUGUUGCAUCAUGUGUGGAUCUUAAAAUCAGAAACAUCAUGAAGGGAGACAAGAGAAGCAGGGAAGAACGUGAGGAACCUCGCCAGCCAAGUGCCAAGAGGCAGUCUGGAACUGACAUGUGGCAAGUCCCGUCACGCCUUCCUCCCCGUCGCCUGCUGGAACCUACACACCUGCGGUCUUGAGAAGCAUUGUCACGACCACGCCCACGCCCCACUCUAUCUCACUGUCAUUCCUUUAUACUGGGCUGCUGCAGCGUGAGUCUUGGCGCGUCACUUCACCUCCACUACUGCACCACACUGAAGACUCGUCGUCCUUUAUCUUGCUGUACGACGCCCACAGGCGAUGGUGGUGAUGCCUGAUGGUUGACUGACUACCAGUGUUUACCGUCUUCCAGCAGCAGACACACACGCUGAAAGCUGCAGCAGGAGGCAUGUAAUAUCUGGAAGGGCAAGCUAAUUUCAGUGAUGAUGAAGAUGAUGAUGAUUUUAAA